CUACGGGAUGCACCAGUGAGGAAUAUUGCACAAUGGAGGAAACUCUGAUGCAGCAACGCCGCGUGGAGGAUGACGCAUUUCGGUGUGUAAACUCCUUUUAUAUGUCAAGAAAAUGACGGUAGCAUAUGAAUAAGCACCGGCUAACUCCGUGCCAGCAGCCGCGGUAAUACGGAGGGUGCAAGCGUUACUCGGAAUCACUGGGCGUAAAGGACGCGUAGGCGGGAUAUCAAGUCAGGUGUGAAAUCCUACAGCUUAACUGUAGAACUGCACUUGAAACUGGUAACCGAGAGUAUGGGAGGGGGAGAUGGAAUUAGUGGUGUAGGGGUAAAAUCCGUAGAUAUCACUAGGAAUACCUAAAACGAAGGCGAUCUCCUGGAACAUAACUGACGCUAAGGCGUGAAAGCGUGGGGAGCAAACAGGAUUAGAUACCCUCGUAGUC
rnacentral:rRNA from 1 species